rnacentral:rRNA from 1 species
GAGUAGGACGGGACACGUGAUAUCUUGUCUGAAUAUUGGGGGACCAUCCUCAAAGGCUAAAUACUCCUAAUUGACCGAUAGUGAACUAGUACCGUGAGGGAAAGGUGAAAAGAACCCCGGAUAGGGGAGUGAAAUAGAACCUGAAACCGUAUACGUACAAGCAGUAGGAGCAAAAAUUUUUAAAUUUUUUUUGUGACUGCGUACCUUUUGUAUAAUGGGUCAGCGACUUAUAUUUUGUAGCAAGGUUAACCUUAUAGGGGAGCCGAAGGGAAACCGAGUCCUAAAUAGGCGUUAAGUUGCAAGAUAUAGACCCGAAACCCGGUGAUCUAGCCAUGGGCAGGUUGAAAAUUAGUUAAUACUAAUUGGAGGACCGAACCGACUAAUGUUGAAAAAUUAGCGGAUGACUUGUGGUUAGGGGUGAAAGGCCAAUCAAACCGGGAGAUAGCUGGUUCUCCCCGAAAGCUAUUUAGGUAGCGCCUUAUGAAUUUAUCUAUGGGGGUAGAGCACUGUUUCGACUAGAGAUCCAUCCCGGAUUAUCAAUUCGAUGCAAACUCCGAAUACCAUAGAAUAUAAUCAUAGGAGACACACGGCGGGUGCUAACGUCCGUCGUGGAAAGGGAAACAACCCAGAUCGCCAGCUAAGGUCCCUAAAUUAUGAUUAAGUGGGAAACGAUGUGAGAAGUCUUAGACAACCAGGAUGUUGGCUUAGAAGCAGCUAUCAUUUAAAGAAAGCGUAAUAGCUCACUGGUCGAGUCAACUUGCGCGGAAGAUUUAACGGGGCUAAAUCAUAUACCGAAGCUGCGACA